GUAACGCGGAACAAAGAAAUCUAAUAAUCGUAAACAAAGAAAAUUUGCUGUAUAAAAACAAAGAAAGCUUUUAAGGAGCAUCAUCAGACAAUAGGGUUUCAAAGUCGCCUCGAUGAUUCGGUUUCGUUUGACAUUAAAAUACUACGGUGGAAACUUUUGCAAAGGCAAGUCUCUUUCUAAAAAAAAUAUUAUUUUAAUGCUAAAAUCGCACCAACCUGUAUAAAAGAAUUCAUUUCAAUCUCACCAAAAUCAAGUAAAUUAAUUGAAAAGAAUUUUACUACGGGAAAUUCCAAACGUUAAAGACAUGUUGAUAAUCAUCUUCUUAUAUCAACUGCGAACAGUUAAUUAUUUAUAAUCGUGCCUAAAAUAUUAUGGCAUUGAUUAAAUUUUAGUAUCAUUAAUUUACCUCGGCAACUUU